rnacentral:rRNA from 1 species
UACGUAGGGUGCGAGCGUUGUCCGGAAUUAUUGGGCGUAAAGGGCUCGUAGGCGGUUUGUCGCGUCGGGAGUGAAAACACCGGGCUUAACUCGGUGCUUGCUUUCGAUACGGGCAGACUUGAGGCAUGCAGGGGAGAACGGAAUUCCUGGUGUAGCGGUGAAAUGCGCAGAUAUCAGGAGGAACACCGGUGGCGAAGGCGGUUCUCUGGAACGGUACUGACGCUGAGACGCGAAAGCGUGGGGAGCGAACAGG